rnacentral:rRNA from 1 species
UACAGGGGGGGCAAGCGUUGUUCGGAAUUACUGGGCGUAAAGGGUUCGUAGGUGGCCACUUAAGUCAGACGUGAAAUCCCUCAGCUUAACUGGGGAACUGCGUCUGAUACUGGAUGGCUUGAGUGCAGGAGAGGAAUGCGGAAUUCCAGGUGUAGCGGUGAAAUGCGUAGAUAUCUGGAGGAACACCGGUGGCGAAGGCGGCAUUCUGGACUGUAACUGACACUGAGGAACGAAAGCUAGGGGAGCAAACGGG